GUCUAGUACUCAGAGUUUGUCCUGGCUCAGGACGAACGCUGGCGGCGUGCCUAACACAUGCAAGUCGAACGGAGUAAUUCCUUCGGGGAUUACUUAGUGGCGAACGGGUGAGUAACGCGUGAGGAACCUACCUUUCAGUGGGGGACAACAGUUGGAAACGACUGCUAAUACCGCAUAAUGUAUUUGAGGGGCAUCCCUUGGAUACCAAAGAUUUAUUGCUGAAAGAUGGCCUCGCGUCUGAUUAGCUAGUUGGUGGGGUAACGGCCUACCAAGGCGACGAUCAGUAGCCGGACUGAGAGGUUGAACGGCCACAUUGGGACUGAGAUGCGGCCCAG
rnacentral:rRNA from 1 species